ensembl:lncRNA
AGAGCUCAGACACAAGACGCUUGAUAAUUUAUUCUAGUCUUAAAGUCUAUAAGCUUUUCAAGAGGGGGAAAUCCUAGAAAUACAUGAGAACAUCUCUAAAAAUAUUUUAACACAUAAUCCAUAAUGGGAGCUUUCAUCACAUUAUAUUAAUUCUUAAAAUGUCUUUAUUAUUUAGUAAGUAACAACUAUGUAUUCUGGGCUGGUAGUGUGACUGGGUAGGAGAGCAUAGCACGUGCUUAGAUAUAUACCAGCCUCAGCACUUCAAAGCAAACAACCCAGAACCUACAUAUCCUUAAUGCAUUUCUUCUGUCAUAUUACUGAACACGAGAGCAUGUGUGACCAAGAAGAGAACAUGUUUCUUUUAGGGAAGAAUGAAAAAAGUUGCUCCAUUACACAGCUCAGGUGGUGACAAUUUUAUAGCAAUGCUCUUUUUAAAGCAUUUAGUAUACUUCUCCGGCUGAGUCAGUUGUUUCACAGCUGACCCCACACUGCCACAGCAGCAGUUCUGUCAAAUACAUAGACAUACUGUACUCAUGGGCAAUCUACUUAGAUGUUCACAAAUAGUUCAUUCCUCUUUCCAGAAAUUCUCCAAGAGAGAAAGAGGGAUGGAGAUUCACAGCCCUGAACAUAUAUUUAGCUUUCUGCUAAGCUGGGUGUCUUGAGAGGGUGUUCACUUGAAUGGAACCCUGGUUCUCUGCAGAAAUCUCCAUGCCUCAUCUCAACCAUCACUUAAAAAUUCAAAGAAUUAUCUGUAGCCCAGCACAGGGAAGGGCUUUGCUCCUGAACUUAUUAACACCUCUUCACACCUCUCCUAUGGUACUUAAUGGCCAUGGCUCAGGACCUCUGUAGAUAGUAUUCGUAUUUAUAAAGUCCCAGAAUGCUGGUGGAAGCCUAUUUAUGCCCUCUGCUUUCCUGGGAACUAGGGAAAAGGCAAAAACACUAUAGGAAAUACAGUGGCUGUCUUCUCUACUCUUUGGAAAAGAGACAAACACCCAUCUCAAUAAUUUAAGGUAGCCUGGUUUUGCAGAGACUCAAGAUAGAUUCAAACAGCAAAUACUGAGGUGAACUGCCUUCAUAAUUUGAGUUCCUUUUCCUUUCCAAUAAGUAAGUAAUUAAAUGAAGAAAAGCCAGCAAAGGGUGAGGGCAGACCACCGAAUGUUACCACACAAAGUAAUCUCACACUUAAGAGGGGUAUUUGAUUUCAGAAUCAUAACUGUGUCAUCUAUCCUAAGUAAAAAGUCACCUCAGGUCUCCCAAAGUAGACCUGAUUGAUGACACAUUUGACAUAGAUUUUAGGUCAAGUAAAGAGUUUUGGAACUAUUAUGUUUCGGCUUAUGUGGGAUUAAAUAAUUUGGGUGAUUUCAGUGUCCAUUUUGAGUCCAUCUUGUUUACAGUUUCUCCUAUUUUUGCUGUUCUGUGGCUCCGUGUGGAUGUACAGAUGGUAACAUUCUCAUACUGGGCACCCCAGAAGGUCACAUGCUUCGCGUCAAUGGCAAUUAGUUCCCUUUUUAAAAUGGAAAAUGUCAUUAAGUUCUUGAAUAAUUCAAGAGUGGCGGUCACAAUACCGCGUCCCUUUUGGGGGUCUUUAUGGUGCAAAUGACAAAACAAGGCGAUACUAUCAGUAAGAGUAGAUCUAAGGUUUACAAUGUAGCUCUAUUUAGUGUGACAGGAAAAUUAAAUUACAGGAGACACUCAUUCAUUGUCACCCGUUAACAGGCUUGGGAAAAUUGUGGAUCCCCGGGGGCAAAUCACUGACAACAUAGGAGGGAACUGAAAAUAUUUCAUUUUAAUUGGCUGCUGUUUCCUUUGCUUGGCUUUGAAAACAGUACACACGCGAUCAGCGCAACUCUCUUUGGAAAAGGGUCCGGAAUCUCCCCAACUGGAACUUACGGGAUCUGCCCAGGAGCCUCGGGGGCUGUCUUCUUGGCGCAGUGUCCCUGCUCUGCACCGGUGGGGUUCCUGAAAAAGAAACAGACCGGCAGGUUUCAAGUAAAAACCGGCUUCCACGCCUGCCCACGGCUGGACAGGAGUUAUCAUUCUUUAACUGGGGCUGCCCUUCGGACCACCAGGUCUGGGAAAGGCAGAAGGGAGAAAGGAAUGACACACAGGCCAUCAACUGUCUUCCUCCCCAGAGAAGAAAAAGUCAGAACGCUCUUUGCGACUGUGGGCUAGAGCCCUGGGGAUUGAACUCAAGGCUUUGCUGGUGCUAGCCAAGAACUCUACCAAAUGAACUACCCCUCAAGCC